rnacentral:rRNA from 1 species
AGCAGCCGCGGUAAUUCCAGCUCCAAUAGCGUAUAUUAAAGUUGUUGCAGUUAAAAAGCUCGUAGUUGAAUUUCAGGGUUAGUAGGUUGGUCAUGCCUCUGGUAUGCACUGGCCUCACUGAUUCCUCCUUCCUGAUGAGCCGUAAUGCCAUUAAUUUGGUGUUGCGGGGAAUUUGGACUGUUACUUUGAAAAAAUUAGAGUGUUUAAAGCAAGCUAACGCUUGAAUACAUUAGCAUGGAAUAAUGAAAUAGGACGUUCGAUCCUAUUUUGUUGGUUUCUAGGAUUGACGUAAUGAUUAAUAGGGAUAGUUGGGGGCAUUAGUAUUCAAUUGUCAGAGGUGAAAUUCUUGGAUUUAUUGAAGACUAACUACUGCGAAAGCAUUUGCCAAGGAUGUUUUCAUUAAUCAAGAACGAAAGUUAGGGGAUCGAAGACGAUCAGAUACCGUCGUAGUCUUAACCAUAAACUAUGCCGACUAGGGAUCGGAUGAUGUUAAUUUUUUAAUGACUCAUUCGGCGCCUUA